rnacentral:rRNA from 1 species
UCUGGUUGAUCCUGCCAGUAGUUAUAUGCUUGUCUCAAAGAUUAAGCCAUGCAUGUCUAAGUACACACCGAUUUAUGGUGAAACCGCAAAAGGCUCAUUAUAUCAGUUAUGGUUCCUUAGAUCAUAUCCAAACUUACUUGGAUAACUGUGGUAAUUCUAGAGCUAAUACAUGCAAUUUAACACGGACCGUAAGGAACGUGUGCUUUUAUUAGAUUAAAACCAAUCGACUCAGCAAUGGGUCGAAACAAAGGUGAAUCUGGAUAACUUUGGCUGAUCGCAUGGUCUUUGUACCGGCGACAGAUCUUUCAAAUGUCUGCCCUAUCAACUAUUGAUGGUAGUAUCUUGGACUACCAUGGUUGCAACGGGUAACGGGGAAUCAGGGUUCGAUUCCGGAGAGGGAGCCUGAGAAACGGCUACCACAUCUAAGGAAGGCAGCAGGCGCGUAAAUUACCCACUCCCAGCACGGGGAGGUAGUGACGAAAAAUAACAAUACAGGACUCACAUCCGAGGCCCUGUAAUUGGAAUGAGUACACUUUAAAUCCUUUAACGAGGAUCAAUUGGAGGGCAAGUCUGGUGCCAGCAGCCGCGGUAAUUCCAGCUCCAAUAGCGUAUAUUAAAGUUGUUGCGGUUAAAACGUUCGUAGUUGAAUUUGUGUCUAGCACGGGUAGUCCGCCGAAUGUGGUUAGGUAAUACCUUGAUGCUUAGACGUAUUACUGGUGGGGCUAAAUUAAUUUCGGUUAAUUUACCCUAGUUAAACUACCUACUCCAGUGCUCUUAACCGAGUGUUGUUGUGGGCCAGUACAUUUACUUUGAACAAAUUAGAGUGCUUAAAGCAGGCUAUAUGCCUGAAUAUUUUGUGCAUGGAAUAAUGGAAUAGGACCUCUGCUCUAUUUUCAUUGGUUUUUAGACCAAGAGGUAAUGAUUAAUAGAAGCAGUUGGGGGCAUUAGUAUUACGACGUUAGAGGUGAAAUUCUUGGACCGUCGUAAGACUAACAUAAGCGAAAGCAUUUGCCAAAGAUGUUUUCAUUAAUCAAGAACGAAAGUUAGAGGUUCGAAGGCGAUCAGAUACCGCCCUAGUUCUAACCAUAAACGAUGUCAGCUAGCAAUUGAGUGUAGCUCCUCCGAUGGCUCUCUCAGUCGCUUUUCGGGAAACCAAAGCUUUUGGUCUCCGGGGGAAGUAUGGUUGCAAAGCUGAAACUUAAAGGAAUUGACGGAAGGGCACCACCAGGAGUGGAG